rnacentral:rRNA from 1 species
GAUGAACGCUGGCGGCGUGCCUAAUACAUGCAAGUCGAGCGAACGGACGAGAAUCUUGCUUCUCUGAUGUUAGCGGCGGCCGGGUGAGUAACACGUGGAUAACCUACCUAUAAGACUGGGAUAACUUCGGGACACCGGAGCUAAUACCGGAUAAUAUUUUCAACCGCAUGGUUCAAAAGUGAAAGACGGUCUUGCUGUCACUUAUAGAUGGAUCCGCGCUGCAUUAGCUAGUUGGUAAGGUAACGGCUUACCAAGGCACCGAUGCAUAGACGACCUGAGAGGGUGGUCGGCCACCCGGGAAGUGAGACACGGCACAGACUCCUAGGGGAGGCAGCAGUAGGGAAUCUUCCGCAAUGGACGAGAGCCUGACGGAGGAACGCGGCGGGAGUGAUGAAGGUCCUCGGAUCGUAAAACUAUGUUAUUAGGGAAGAAGAAAUGUGUAAGUAACUGUGCAGAUCUUGACGGUACCGAAUCAGAAAGCCACGGCUAACUACGUG